GUAGUAGAAGUAGUAAUGCUGGUGCUGGCAGUAGAAUAUGUUGUAGGAGUAGAAGUAAAAGUGGUUGUUGUAUAAGUUGUACAAGCAGUUAAACUACUGAUAAUUAUACUAUUGGUGCAAAUUUAAGUGACAGUAGCAGUUACUAUUGUGUUGUUGUUUUAGCAUUUACAGGAAUAGUAGCAGUAAUGGUAGCAAUAGUAGUAUAAAUAAUAAUAACAAUACUAGUAGCAGCAGUAGUAGUAGUAGUUAAGGAAGUAGCAUUAGCAGCAGCAGCAGUAGUAGUAGUAGAAGUAGCAGCAGCAGCAGUAGUAGCAGUAGCAGCAUCAGCAGCAUCAGUAGUAGUAGCAGUAGUAGUAGCAGUAGUAGUUGAAUUACUAGUAGUAGUAGUAGUAGUAGUAGUAGUAGUAGUAGUAGAAGUAGAAGUAGCAGCAGUAGUAGUGGUAGAAGUAGUAGUAGUAGUAACAGCAGCAGCAGCAGCAGCAGUAGUAGUAGAAGUCGCUGCAGCAGGAGUUGUAAUAGUAGCAGCAGCAGCAGUAGAAGUAGUAGUAGUAGCAGCAGCAGCAGGAGUAGUAGCAGCAGCAGCAGUAGCAGCAGCAGUAGCAGCAGUAGUAGUAGUUGAAGCAGUAGUAGUAGUUGAAGUAGUAGUAGUAGUAGUAGUAGUAGCAGUAGUAGCAGCAGUAGUAGUAGUAGUAGUAGUAGUAGUAGUAGUAGUAGUAGAUGUAGUAGUAGUAGUAGUAGUAGUAGUAGAUGUAGAAGUAGCAGUAGUAGUAGUAGUAGUAGUAGCAGUAGUAGUAGUAGUAGUAGUAGUAGUAGUAGGUAGUUGUUGUUGUUGUUGUGGCUGUUGUAAUAGUAGUAGUAGUUUUGCAGAAGUAGUAGUAGUAGUACUAGUAGUAGAAGUAAUAGUAGUAACUUUCAAAGCAAUGUCUACAAGUUUAAAUUCCUUAACCCUGUUCAAGGUGUAUACACACUCAAUAUUUAACUACAGUCCAGCUUUGAAAUUAACAAACUAUCUGAAAAGCCUGUGUGUGAGUCAGAUGUGUCUGCGGCUAAUCUAUUGGUUAUAAAAUAUCACAGCCUUUUCUGAUUGGCUGAGUUCAAAUACAGAAAGUUUACCUGUUAGAUUGAAAUUCUGGAGAAGGCUUAUUGAAGAAAAAUGCAGGUUAAACUUGUUGUUAAAAUGAAGUUAAUGUAAUUUCACAAACAGUAGAGUUAAUGAGUUUUUCCAUUAACAAGAAUUUCUUAAAAUAAUAAUGUAUGGAUAUCAUUUGGAAAGUGACAUGAAAUGUUGUUAAAAAGUGAUGCAUACAAGUGUUUCAGAAGUCUGUCUAGGAAUAGAACAACAACUGAAGCUGACCAGUUGAUGGAAGAUACUGCAGAGUUUGGCAGGGAAAUAACCCAAGACAGCAAAGCGGCUCUUUUGGCGCAUUUACCAAGAGGACUAACAUGGCCACAAACUCUGACCUUGAAGGAUGACCUUGACCUUUCACCACUCAAAAUGUGCAGCUCUAUAAGUUACACAUGCAUGCCAAAUAUCAAGUUGCUAUCUUUAAUAUUGCAAAAGUAUUCAUAAAAUAAGCGAUUUGGGCCACAUAUAUUUGACCUCUGACCUUGCAGUAUGACCUUGACCUUUCACCACUCAAAAUGUGCAGCUCCAUGAGAUACACAUGCAUGCCAAAUAUCAAGUUGCUAUCUUCAAUAUUGCAAAAGUAUUCAUAAAAUGAGCGAUUUUGGCCACAUAUAUUUGACCUCUGACCUUGAAGGAUGACCUUGACCUUUCACCACUCAAAAUGUGCAGCUCCAUGAGAUACACAUGCAUGCCAAAUAUCAAGUUGCUAUCUUCAAUAUAGCAAAAGUUAUUGCAAAAUGUUAAAGUUGGUGCAAACCAACCAACCAACCAACAGACCAACCAACCAACAGACUAACCAACAGACAGGGCAAAAACAAUAUGUCCCCCACUACUAUAGUGGGGGACAUAAAAAUAUUAUCCUUGUGCUCAUGUUCAGCUACAUAUAUUGUAACAUACAUGAAGCAGCUAAAAAUAACUUAAAUUUUUCAUUUUGUUUCUUGUAUAUCGUUUGUACAGGGUUCGUGAAUUGUUACUGUAUAUUACUUGACUUGCUUGUAUUUUGUUACUUUGAAUACAUGUUGUGAAGGUUGCAUUAUACUUUUUAACUUUUAAAGGAGCGCUUGUUCUGUUAUGUAAGGGCCUGAUUUAUGAUUAUGGACCUAGAGGCUUUGUAAGCAUGUAUUAAACAACACUUGUUUGAUCUGAAUAAUUUGUUAAAUAAAUGUAACACAAUUUGUAAUCUGAUGUUAUAUUUUGAUGAAUUGUGAACAAAAUAAUACAUCGAAGAAACUAA